UACGAAGGGGGCUAGCGUUGUUCGGAAUUACUGGGCGUAAAGCGUGCGCAGGCGGCUUCUCAAGUCAGGGGUGAAAGCCCAGAGCUCAACUCUGGAAUUGCCUUUGAGACUGAGUGGCUUGAGUACGAGAGAGGUGAGUGGAAUUCCCAGUGUAGAGGUGAAAUUCGUAGAUAUCGGGAAGAACACCGGUGGCGAAGGCGGCUCACUGGCUCGUAACUGACGCUCAUGCACGACAGCGUGGGGAUCAAACAGG
rnacentral:rRNA from 1 species